GUAGGUGGCAAGCGUUGUCCGGAAUUAUUGGGCGUAAAGCGCGCGCAGGCGGUUCUUUAAGUCUGAUGUGAAAGCCCACGGCUCAACCGUGGAGGGUCAUUGGAAACUGGAGAACUUGAGUACAGAAGAGGAAAGCGGAAUUCCACGUGUAGCGGUGAAAUGCGCAGAGAUGUGGAGGAACACCAGUGGCGAAGGCGGCUUUCUGGUCUGUAACUGACGCUGAGGCGCGAAAGCGUGGGGGAGCAAACAGGAUUAGAUACCCUGGUAGUCCACGCCGUAAACGAUGAGUGCUAAGUGUUAGGGGGUUUCCGCCCCUUAGUGCUGCAGCUAACGCAUUAAGCACUCCGCCCUGGGAGUACGGCCGCAAGGCUG
rnacentral:rRNA from 1 species